rnacentral:lncRNA from 1 species
UGAAAGCCCUCCGGGUAAAAUUAAUUUCUUUAUAACACCGUUUAAAGGCAAACAAAAGGAAAUUGCUUGUGCCAGAUGGGGUACGGAAGGCAUUGUGAAUGAAAAUGAGCAUCUCUUUUCUGCUAAUUAAAUUAUAUAAUGAAGGUGAACAUUUCUUGUAAACCAUAAAGUAUAUGCAUACAACCUUUCAUUUUGUGGUUUAUCUUUCUGGAAUUAGUCUAGAAAUUGUCUCCAAUUUUGCCUCGUAUUUUAUCUGAACUGUUGGUUCACAGCUGCUGGCUUUCUUUUUCUUGUAACCUCACGUAUUUUCAUGAAUAACAUUUCAAAUCUAAUCAUUGAUGUUGCAGCUGAUGGUGAUCUCUCUCUGCUCUAAGCACCUAUAAUAGUUAUUUAGCACUUAUGCUAUGCCACCAUUUAUCUUCGUUGCCUAUAUCCUCUCUACUUGGCUGUAACAUCAACUCUUGAAUAUUAACACUUGUACUAAAAAGACUACUACUAAUAGCUAACAUUUAUGGUUUACUGUAUGCCAGGCACUGUACUAAGCAUUUUAAAUGGACUAUUAAAUUUAAUAAGAAGCAGGAAACACAUUGUGUUUUACAGUGGGAUCACAUAAUACAUUUAUUAUAUAAUAUGUAUUAACAUUUCACACUCGGCCAGGCAUGGUGGCUCACGCCUGUAAUCCCAGCACUUUGGGAGGCUGAGGUGGGUGGAUCACCUGAGGUCAGGAGUUUGAGACCAGCAUGGCCAACAUGGUAAAACCCUGUCACUACUAAAAAUACAAAAAUUAGCUGGGCAUGUGGCACACACCUGUAGUCCCAGCUACUCAGGAGACUGAGGCAGGAAAAUCACUUGAACCCGGGAGGCAGAGGUUGCAGUGAGCCGGUGAGCUGAGAUCACACCACUGCACUCCAGCCUGGGCGAUAGAGUGAGACUCUGUUGCAAAAAAUAAAUUAAUUAAUUAAUUAAAAAAUAAAAAAUAAUAAUUUCACACUCAGUAGCUCAGACUGUCCACAUAUCAAAAAACCAAGAUACUAAAAAGAUAUAGAAAUAUAGAUUUAUGUAGGGUAAACAUUUAUCCUACCAUUUUAUUUAAUGAAUUUAUGCCCUAGAGUAAGAGUGAGAUGGGAGAGGUAAAUCUACUCUUUCUCCAGGUGAAGUCACUUCCCAUAUACCACUUGUUGUGUGUGCAUCUUGCUAUGGAAUGUAUAAUGUUUAAAGACAGACAUUUUUGGUACAACAUGGACUGUGAAUGCAGGCUAUAUCUGUUACUAAACUAAAGAAACAGUUUCAAUGCUAGAAGAAAGCCUAGUUGUAUUAAAUGCAAGAGAUGGUAUGUCAGUCUCCAAUGUGUUAACUUUCAAGAAAUUUGACUUAAUCUAAAUUUUUGUCACAAAAUACCUCUGAUGUGCUGUUGACUUUCAGUGAUGUAGCUUUUCUCUUUUUGUCCCAUUUGAUAUCAAUCCUUUUUUUGUGUCUUCUAUUUAUAUGUUCUCUAUUUUAUUUUUAAAUUUCAACUGUCUCAUGAAUAUCUACGAUUGCAUCUUUCACUAACACCUUAAUUUAUAUGUACUUGAGCUGAAUGAUUUAUUCUCUCCCCCAAAUUUGUAUAAUCUACAGUUCUUUUUCUCUUCCUUAGUAAAUGGCACCAUCUUCUUCCUAACCUCUGAAAUAAGAAUUCUAGGACUUACAUUAUAUUUCUGUGUCUUAUUCAUUUUUCUUCACCUCACAGUAUUCACUAAAUCAACAAGAACUGUAGCUUCUAUGUUCUGAUAUCUUGUAUCUGUAUUGUUUACAACACUCAUAGCUCAUCUCCUUGCCUUCUGUAAGCCAUUUGCACCCUGCCCUAUCCCAUUCUAGGGUAUUAUUUCAUCAAAUGAAGAGUAUGACUUAAUUAACUCAUUCAUAAAAACUUGUUUUGAGUAUGUCAUCUAAAGUCAGGGCUCUGUCCCUUUUUUAUGUAUUCCACAAACAUGGACUGAGUACUAAUGUGUGAUUAUCAUCUCAAUGCUAGUGGUUAGUAACACAAAGAUAAGUAAGACAUGGCACAAUUAGAAAUAAGACAAUGCCAUAUGUGCUAAUGAAAUUUAAGUGCAGAAUAUAGAUGAAGCACGAAGGGGGAUGGUUUGAUUCAUUC